AACGAACGCUGGCGGCAUGCCUAAUACAUGCAAGUCUAACGAGAAAGCCUUCGGGUGAGUAAAGUGGCGCACGGGUGAGGAACACGUAGGUGACCUACCCUUAGUUUGGGACAACCCGGGGAAACUCGGGCUAAUACCGGAUGUGUAAUCAGAAUUUGGAAGUAUGAUUAGAAAGAUGGCUUCGGCUAUCGCUAGGGGAAGGGCCUGCGGGCCAUUAGCUUGAUGGUGGGGUAACGGCCUACCAUGGCGACGAUGGAUAACUGGUCUGAGAGGAUGAUCAGUCACACUGGAACUGAGACACGGUCCAG
rnacentral:rRNA from 1 species